rnacentral:rRNA from 1 species
UUGACCUCGGAUCAGGUAGGGAUACCCGCUGAACUUAAGCAUAUCAAUAAGCGGAGGAAAAGAAACCAACCGGGAUUGCCUUAGUAACGGCGAGUGAAGCGGCAACAGCUCAAAUUUGAAAGCGGCCUCCGGUCGCGUUGUAAUUUGCAGAGGAUGCGUCGGACAUGCACGGCUCCAAGUCCCUUGGAACAGGACGCCACAGAGGGUGAGAGCCCCGUUGGAGUCGGAACGGUCCAUGUGAUGCUCCUUCGACGAGUCGAGUUGUUUGGGAAUGCAGCUCAAAAUGGGUGGUAAAUUUCAUCUAAAGCUAAAUACUGGCCA